AGUAUGUGUUUGAUAAACACGCGAUCUCGGUCUGAAAUCUGAUCACGUAUAUGUUUUUGAUACACAGGCGAUCUGGUCUGAAAUCAGAUCACGUAUAUGUUUUUGAUAAACAUCUCGCCUGUUUUAUCAAAAACAUCGCCUCCUGCAACAUAACCAAGUAUAAGAGGUCCAGCCUGCCCAGUGACCGCAAGUUUAACGCCCGCGGUAUUUUGACCGUGCAAAGGUAGCGCAAUCACUUGUCUUUUAAAUAAAGACCGGUAUGAAUGGCUAAACGAGGGCUUAACUGUCUCCCAUUUCAAGUCAGUGAAAUUGAUCUACCCGUGCAGAAGCGGGUAUAAUUAUGCAAGACGAGAAGACCCUUUGGAGCUUCAGGCGUAAAACUCAACCACGUCAAGCGACUCAAUAAAAAGCAAUUUUUUCCUAAACCUUGUGGUAAAUGAGACCACUGCCUUCGGUUGGGGCGACCAUGGAGGAAAAAUAAGCCUCCAAG
rnacentral:rRNA from 1 species